rnacentral:rRNA from 1 species
CAAUUGAUUUAAAAUUAAAUAGCUGCAGUAUAUUGCCUGUSCAAAGGUAGCAUAAUAAUUAGUCUUUUAAUUGAAGUCUUGUAUGAAAGAUUUGAUGAAAAAUAAACUUUAUUAUUUGUAAAAUUAAAAUUUUAUUUUUAAGUAAAAAAGCUUAAAUUUUUUUAAGGGACGAUAAGACCCUAUAAAACUUUAUAAUAAAAUAUAAUUUAAUUUUUUUGUAAAUUAUUUUAAUUUAAUUUAUUUUAUUAUUUUAUUGGGGUGAUAAAAAAAAAUUAAUAACUUUUUUUAAAUUUUAACAUUAAUUUAUGAUUAUUUGAAUUAAAAUUUUUAAUUAAAGGAAAAAGUUACUUUAGGGAUAACAGCGUAAUUAAUUUUUAAAGUUCAAAUUUGAAAAUUAGUUUGCGACCUCGAUGUUGAAUUAAGAUAAUUUUUAGGUGCAACAUUUUAAAUUUUAGGUCUGUUCGACCUUUAAAUCUUACAUGAUCUGAUUCAAA